rnacentral:rRNA from 1 species
UACGUAGGUGGCGAGCGUUGUUCGGAAUCACUGGGCAUAAAGCGCACGUAGGCGGCUUUGUAAGUCGGAUGUGAAAUCCCUCGGCUCAACCGAGGAACUGCGUCCGAUACUGCAUUGCUUGAGGGUCGGAGGGGGAGCCGGAAUUCCGGGUGGAGCGGUGAAAUGCGUAGAUAUCCGGAGGAACGCCGGUGGCGAAAGCGGGCUCCUGGUCGACAUCUGACGCUGAGGUGCGAAAGCGUGGGGAGCAAACAGG